GACGAACGCUGGCGGCGUGCUUAACACAUGCAAGUCGAACGGAAAGGCCCUGCUUUUGUGGGGUGCUCGAGUGGCGAACGGGUGAGUAACACGUGAGUAACCUGCCCUUGACUUUGGGAUAACUUCAGGAAACUGGGGCUAAUACCGGAUAGGAGCUCCUGCUGCAUGGUGGGGGUUGGAAAGUUUCGGCGGUUGGGGAUGGACUCGCGGCUUAUCAGCUUGUUGGUGGGGUAGUGGCUUACCAAGGCUUUGACGGGUAGCCGGCCUGAGAGGGUGACCGGCAACAUGGGAAGUGAGAAGCGGCCGAGACACGUGGGGGAGGAGGAAGGGGGAAUUAUGGCAAAGGGGGCGGAAGCCUGAGACAACAACCCGGGGGGCGGAAAACCGGCUUGGGGGUUAUAAACCGCUUUCGCCGGUGAAGAAGGGAGAGUGAGGGUAGAGGAAAAAGAAGACCAGGCAAACUACGUG
rnacentral:rRNA from 1 species